rnacentral:rRNA from 1 species
AGAGUUUGAUCCUGGCUCAGGACGAACGCUGGCGGCGUGCUUAACACAUGCAAGUCGAGCGAUGAAGCUUCCUUCGGGAAGUGAAUUAGCGGCGGACGGGUGAGUAACACGUGGGUAACCUGCCUCAAAGUGGGGGAUAGCCUUCCGAAAGGAAGAUUAAUACCGCAUAAUAUGAGAGAAUCGCAUGAUUUUCUUAUCAAAGAUUUAUUGCUUUGAGAUGGACCCGCGGCGCAUUAGCUAGUUGGUAAGGUAACGGCUUACCAAGGCAACGAUGCGUAGCCGACCUGAGAGGGUGAUCGGCCACAUUGGAACUGAGACACGGUCCAGACUCCUACGGGAGGCAGCAGUGGGGAAUAUUGCGCAAUGGGGGAAACCCUGACGCAGCAACGCCGCGUGGGUGAUGAAGGUCUUCGGAUUGUAAAGCUCUGUUUUCUAGGACGAUAAUGACGGUACUAGAGGAGGAAGCCACGGCUAACUACGUGCCAGCAGCCGCGGUAAUACGUAGGUGGCGAGCGUUGUCCGGAUUUACUGGGCGUAAAGGGUGCGUAGGCGGAUGUUUAAGUGGGAUGUGAAAUCCCCGGGCUUAACCUGGGGGCUGCAUUCCAAACUGGAUAUCUAGAGUGCAGGAGAGGAAAGCGGAAUUCCUAGUGUAGCGGUGAAAUGCGUAGAGAUUAGGAAGAACACCAGUGGCGAAGGCGGCUUUCUGGACUGUAACUGACGCUGAGGCACGAAAGCGUGGGUAGCAAACAGGAUUAGAUACCCUGGUAGUCCACGCCGUAAACGAUGGAUACUAGGUGUAGGGGGUAUCAACUCCCCCUGUGCCGCAGUUAACACAAUAAGUAUCCCGCCUGGGGAGUACGGUCGCAAGAUUAAAACUCAAAGGAAUUGACGGGGGCCCGCACAAGCAGCGGAGCAUGUGGUUUAAUUCGAAGCAACGCGAAGAACCUUACCUGGACUUGACAUCCCUUGCAUAGCCUAGAGAUAGGUGAAGCCCUUCGGGGCAAGGAGACAGGUGGUGCAUGGUUGUCGUCAGCUCGUGUCGUGAGAUGUUAGGUUAAGUCCUGCAACGAGCGCAACCCUUGUUAUUAGUUGCUACCAUUAAGUUGAGCACUCUAAUGAGACUGCCUGGGUAACCAGGAGGAAGGUGGGGAUGACGUCAAAUCAUCAUGCCCCUUAUGUCCAGGGCUACACACGUGCUACAAUGGUAGGUACAAUAAGACGCAAGACCGUGAGGUGGAGCAAAACUUAUAAAACCUAUCUCAGUUCGGAUUGUAGGCUGCAACUCGCCUACAUGAAGCUGGAGUUGCUAGUAAUCGCGAAUCAGAAUGUCGCGGUGAAUACGUUCCCGGGCCUUGUACACACCGCCCGUCACACCAUGAGAGCUGGUAACACCCGAAGUCCGUGAGGUAACCGUAAGGAACCAGCGGCCGAAGGUGGGAUUAGUGAUUGGGGUGAAGUCGUAACAAGGUAGCCGUAGGAGAACCUGCGGCUGGAUCACCU